CAAGAUGGGCAUUGAAAACAUGAGUGCCGUAGUGAAUUUCAAUACUGCGGCAAGUACGUGUGGUGCCCCUAUACAAACAGUCAACUCUUACUCCAAAAACAAGGAUAAGCAAAGGAUUUGACAGGGCUACAUGUACAUUUGCCGCAUCUACAAGCAAUCUCAAAUAGGAAUGAGCAGCAAACCUCAUAGGUGGUCAACAAUCCAUCCAACAUAGUAUCCCCUUUCUAGAGUUUAGACAUGUGGAAUAGUGACAUGAGAGGAGAAGUAGCAGCUACAAACGAGUUGAUAUAUCGUGGUUUUGCUAGACUCUAUGUUAGUAGGCAAGUGUGCUAGCACAUGGGGACAGGUUGUAUUCACCAGGAGUUUGGGAAUGUCACAAACGUGUCUGGAGUGUCUGAUAUAUUGACGAUUUCACCCUUUAAAAAAAAGACGUAUUUUAAC
rnacentral:sRNA from 1 species